UGAACGCUGGCGGCAGGCCUAACACAUGCAAGUCGAACGGUAACAGGAAGAAGCUUGCUUCUUUGCUGACGAGUGGCGGACGGGUGAGUAAUGUCUGGGAAACUGCCUGAUGGAGGGGGAUAACUACUGGAAACGGUAGCUAAUACCGCAUAACGUCGCAAGACCAAAGAGGGGGACCUUAGGGCCUCUUGCCAUCGGAUGUGCCCAGAUGGGAUUAGCUAGUAGGUGGGGUAAAGGCUCACCUAGGCGACGAUCCCUAGCUGGUCUGAGAGGAUGACCAGCCACACUGGAACUGAGACACGGUCCAGACUCCUACGGGAGGCAGCAGUGGGGAAUAUUGCACAAUGGGCGCAAGCCUGAUGCAGCCAUGCCGCGUGUAUGAAGAAGGCCUUCGGGUUGUAAAGUACUUUCAGCGGGGAGGAAGGUGUUGUGGUUAAUAACCACAGCAAUUGACGUUACCCGCAGAAGAAGCACCGGCUAACUCCGUGCCAGCAGCCGCGGUAAUACGGAGGGUGCAAGCGUUAAUCGGAAUUACUGGGCGUAAAGCGCACGCAGGCGGUCUGUCAAGUCGGAUGUGAAAUCCCCGGGCUCAACCCUGGGAACUGCAUUCGAAACUGGCAGGCUUGAGUCUCGUAGAGGGGGGUAGAAUUCCAGGUGUAGCGGUGAAAUGCGUAGAGAUCUGGAGGAAUACCGGUGGCGAAGGCGGCCCCCUGGACGAAGACUGACGCUCAGGUGCGAAAGCGUGGGGAGCAAACAGGAUUAGAUACCCUGGUAGUCCACGCCGUAAACGAUGUCUAUUUGGAGGUUGUGCCCUUGAGGUGUGGCUUCCGGAGCUAACGCGUUAAAUAGACCGCCUGGGGAGUACGGCCGCAAGGUUAAAACUCAAAUGAAUUGACGGGGGCCCGCACAAGCGGUGGAGCAUGUGGUUUAAUUCGAUGCAACGCGAAGAACCUUACCUGGUCUUGACAUCCACAGAACUUUCCAGAGAUGGAGGGGUGCCUUCGGGAACUGUGAGACAGGUGCUGCAUGGCUGUCGUCAGCUCGUGUUGUGAAAUGUUGGGUUAAGUCCCGCAACGAGCGCAACCCUUAUCCUUUGUUGCCAGCGGUUAGGCCGGGAACUCAAAGGAGACUGCCAGUGAUAAACUGGAGGAAGGUGGGGAUGACGUCAAGCCAUCAUGGCCCUUACGACCAGGGCUACACACGUGCUACAAUGGCGCAUACAAAGAGAAGCGAACUCGCGAGAGCAAGCGGACCUCAUAAAGUGCGUCGUAGUCCGGACUGGAGUCUGCAACUCGACUCCAUGAAGUCGGAAUCGCUAGUAAUCGUGGAUCAGAAUGCCACGGUGAAUACGUUCCCGGGCCUUGUACUCACCGC
rnacentral:rRNA from 1 species